rnacentral:rRNA from 1 species
AGUGAACGCUGGCGGUAGGCCUAACACAUGCAAGUCGAACGGCAGCACAGUAAGAGCUUGCCCUUACGGGUGGCGAGUGGCGGACGGGUGAGGAAUGCAUCGGAAUCUACUUUUUCGUGGGGGACAACGUAGGGAAACUUACGCUAAUACCGCAUACGACCUACGGGUGAAAGCAGGGGAUCUUCGGACCUUGCGCGAUUGAAUGAGCCGAUGUCGGAUUAGCUAGUUGGCGGGGUAAAGGCCCACCAAGGCGACGAUCCGUAGCUGGUCUGAGAGGAUGAUCAGCCACACUGGAACUGAGACACGGUCCAGACUCCUACGGGAGGCAGCAGUGGGGAAUAUUGGACAAUGGGCGCAAGCCUGAUCCAGCCAUGCCGCGUGGGUGAAGAAGGCCUUCGGGUUGUAAAACCCUUUUGUUGGGAAAGAAAAGCAGCAGGUUAAUACCCCGCUGUUCUGACGGUACCCAAAGAAUAAGCACCGGCUAACUUCGUG